rnacentral:lncRNA from 1 species
CUAAAACGCUUCACAUCUCUCAAAAUCUAAAAAUCCCUUUUCUAUAGAUUCUAAACCCUAGAAACUCUGAAACACUCUAAAAUUCUGCCGCAACUCUUUAAGUUUGAGUUUUCCCUUCUCGUUUGGAAGCUUAGUCCUUGGUUAAGACUGAAGAUGCUCGACUUUCUCGGUAAGUUCCCCAAUUUCUAUAACCAUUUUUUCAUAUUUCAAUCUUUUUCGCUUGUUGUACUCUAUGUUUAGUUGCUGGGAGAAUUAGGACGAUUUUUCCCUUUUGCAUUUCCACUGAGUUUCCAAUUUAUUCCGUUUAUUUUACAAAUAGGUUGGUCGAAACAGUUUCAAUUUGAUUCAGUUCUUCUUCUGUUCGAUUAGUUAUUUUGGUUUUGGGAUUGUUUUGUAUUUUUGUUUUUUGCAAAAUCGAAGCUUCAAUUCAUUUGCAUGACUCUUUAUCUGUGAUUUGAGAUGAGUUGCGCUUCAAAGAUUCUAAACAACAUGAUUUGGGGACAUUACUUUCUAUAUGAGAAAAAUGUUUGUAUUUCUAAAUUAAAAAUUUGGAGCUUGUGUAGUGCAUCUAUACAUCAAUAAGUGGGUUAACUGAAGGUCCUUAGCUUUGUCGACUUAUUCAGGGUUAAAUUUUCUUGUAAUAGAAAUAAUGAAGUUGCAAAUUUAAGAUUGCAGUAAUCUGUAGUUAUUGGCUCAUAGUCUUCUUUGUGAUAUUGGAAGCUAGGAAUCAAUUUGUACAUUUCUCUACUUGACUAGCAAUUUUAAUUGUAUUAAUAAAGCUUUGAGCUUCUUGAGUAUCUGCGCCAUCUUCCUCAGCAAGUUGGGCAUGAUCUUCAACUUAUUCUCAAUGUUUAAUAACAGGUUAAACACAAAGUGAAAGGAGUUGUAAGUGUCUAGUAAUAAUGAACCUGACAUUUAGCAAAUUUUGCAUAAUCUGUUAUGUUUUCAUAUAUAUACAAAACUGAAGUCAGUAGUGAAUCCCAAUUAUAUAUAGAAAAUAAAAAUAUAUAGUAACUUCUAUAUCUGAAAAUUUUAAAGAUGCAGGCGUUCUGGUUUUGGUUUUAAUCUGUUGAGCGGAAAUGGAACCGUCACAUAAGAUGUCUGAGCUAUUGUAAUGGAAGAAGCUGAUUUUCAAUCUACAUAUCCCACAAUUUGGAGUUUAUCUGUGAUAUCUCACUAUAUUAGACGGUCAGAUUCAAAACUCUGUAUUAUCCGUAACCUGAUUUUAUUAGUUCAUAACAUUAUGUAUGAUAAAACUCCUCAGGUUCUUUAUGAUGGGUGAGAGUGAGACUUUCUUGCGAGAAAGCAUAUUAGCUUUGAGAGCGAGAUUCUUUAGUUCUAUUUUUCUACUGCUAUGAUAUACUCAUUUCGUAUUGUGACAAUGUUGGGUUUCUGAUGAAAUAUUAUUUACCUAUUGAAAAGAAAGGUUCAUGGCUUUGAUAUAAAUAUAACAUAUGUAUGUUUGUUCAUUCGUGCAUCAGAAAUGUGACAAUAUUACUCGGAUGUGCUUGUAAAGUAAAAUCCUCCUGGAACAUGACCACAUAUUGUACAAAUAUGCAGAGGAUUAGAUGAGCUCAUGAAAGAGAUAUCUGCCUGAGUGAAAACAGAAAUUUAUUUACAAGAGUGAGUUGCUCUAGUGGUAAGCAUCCUCCACUUCCAACCAAGAGGUUGUGAGUUCGAGUCACCCCAAAAGUAAGGUGGGGAGUUCUUGGAUGGAGGGAUAUCGAGGGUCUAUCGGAAACAUCUCUCUACCCCAGGGUAGGGGUAAGGUUUGCGUACACACUACCCUUCCCAGACCCACUAAUGGGAUUAUACUGGGUUGUUGUUGUUGUUGUUGUUGUUGUUGUUGUAUAUCUGAAAAUUUUAUCAAAUAAUUAUUGCGACGACUUAAGUAUGAAUAAGUAACUAGACUUGAUUGUUUGUGUAGGCCUCUUUGAUAUAAUUAUCUUUUCUUGAUAGCGCGCAAAAUUUCUUUUUUUUAAUAUUGUUUUGCCUAAAAUUAAUUUAUACAGUUCUCAGAACAAUCUGUAUAUUGCAACAGUUAUUGGAUAGAGGGGGAGCAGAAGAAAGAUGAGGUAGUAAUCAGAUUGUACUAUAUUUACUGGUUAAUGAUUACCAAUUAUCUUCCACUUUUACAUGGCCGGAUCGUACUACAGUUGUUGGAUUUGCUGGUCAAGGUAUGAUACCUUCACUUGAAAGCACCUUUAAAUUUAGUAUUGAUCGUAAAUAGAGUGCUUUAUGUGAAAAAAUAGAGUUUGCUUUUGGAUAUAUUGUUCUCAGAAAUUCGCUCAGAUGGUGAUUCAUUUCUUAUGAUUCUUGUACCUGCAACAGUUAAAUGACUCGGUGUGCUAUGUAAUUUAAAUUACAAGAGUUGAAUAGUCUUAGCAUCAUUUUCAGAUGUGUUAUUAAUUAUAGUAAUGGUAUUCAUUUCAGUUGUACAUUACAGAUGUAUAGUCUCAAACUUUGCAAUGUUGGCCAUUACUACAUUCACCAAAGUAUCUUCUGCAAAUAGAAUACAAGGGAUGGUAAACUUGCUAAGCUGUAGGCUUAAAAGUUGAGAGUUUGGUGUUUUCUCAAAACAAAAUCUGUUAAUAAUCUAUUUGGUUUUGAUUACGGAAUUGAUUUGUACAUAUGCGUUCACACAUAUGUAUGGUUCUUGUAUACGCUUGCACUUAAUGAGUUUGAACGUUUUUUCAAGUGGGUUAUAUCUCUGUUAGAUUUGAAUUAUUUUGACAGAAAAUCUAUUAAACCUAUUUCGCCAUGGUAGCAUCUCUAAUAAGAAUCUAUUUUAUACUUUCUACAGGUUUGAAGACGAGUUUGCAAAUCAAGAUGCAAGCUUUAAAGCUUCAUAGAAGUCAGCAAAUUGGUCAUCAUUUUGUUAAGAUAUUUAGGCAAAAAAAUUUUUUUUGCUCAAAUAAUGUGAGAACAGUGCUGUGAAGUAUGUAUCACGGCUAUACCUUGUUACUUAUGGAAUGUUAAUACAUUUUUUGUAAUUAAUUACAAGUUAUACAUAUGAAACUAAGGCUUGACUACGAG